rnacentral:pre_miRNA from 1 species
AAAGUACUCUCUCCGUCCGGAAAUACUUGUCGGAGAAAUGCAUAAAAAUGAAUGUAUCUAGAACUAAAAUACGUCUAGAUACAUCCAUUCCUCCGACGAGUAUUUCCGGACAGAGGGAGUACUAA